UGGGAUUAAAGGCGAAUGCCACCACUGCC
rnacentral:piRNA from 1 species